rnacentral:rRNA from 1 species
AUUGAACGCUGGCGGCAGGCCUAACACAUGCAAGUCGAGCGGAUGAAGGCUGCUUGCUCCUGGAUUCAGCGGCGGACGGGUGAGUAAUGCCGAGGAAUCUGCCUGGGAGUGGGGGAUAACGUCCGGAAACGGGCGCUAAUACCGCAUACGUUCUGAGGGAGAAAGUGGGGGAUCUUCGGACCUCACGCUAUCAGAUGAGCCUAGGUCGGAUUAGCUAGUUUGUGGGGUAAAGGCCUACCAAGGCGACGAUCCGCAACUGGUCUGAGAGGAUGAUCAGUCACACUGGAACUGCGACACGGUCCAGACUCCUACGGGCGCCAGCCGUCGGGAAUCUUGGACCAUCGGCGAACGCCUGAUCCCGCCAUGCCGCGUGUGUGCAGAAGGUCUUCGGAUUGUACAGCACUUUCAGUUGGGAGGAAAGACAGUAAGUUACUCCCUUGCUGUUUUGACGUUCCCAACAGAAUCAGCCCCGGCUCACUUCGUG